CUCAGGAUGAACGCUGGCGGCGUGCCUAACACAUGCAAGUCGUACGAGCUCGAUCUUCGGAACGGGUUAGUGGCGCACGGGUGAGUAACACGUAGGUGACCUACCCCAGAGUGGGGGAUAACUUCUCGAAAGAGGGGCUAAUACCGCAUACACUCGGUCAUUCAUUUGGCCGAGCAAAGCUCCGGCGCUUUGGGACGGGCCUGCGUCCGAUUAGCUAGUUGGUAGGGUAAUGGCUUACCAAGGCUUUGAUCGGUAGCUGGUCUGAGAGGACGAUCAGCCACACUGGCACUGACACACGGGCCAGACUCCUACGGGAGGCAGCAGUGAGGAAUAUUGGGCAAUGGGCGAAAGCCUGACCCAGCAACGCCGCGUGAGGGAUGAAGGCCUUCGGGUUGUAAACCUCUUUUCUGGGAGAAGAGACAAGGACGGUAUCCCAGGAAUAAGUCUCGGCUAACUACGUG
rnacentral:rRNA from 1 species